UACGAAGGGGGCUAGCGUUGUUCGGAAUUACUGGGCGUAAAGCGCACGUAGGCGGGUAUUUAAGUCAGGGGUGAAAUCCCAGAGCUCAACUCUGGAACUGCCUUUGAUACUGGGUACCUAGAGUAUGGAAGAGGUGAGUGGAAUUCCGAGUGUAGAGGUGAAAUUCGUAGAUAUUCGGAGGAACACCAGUGGCGAAGGCGGCUCACUGGUCCAUUACUGACGCUGAGGUGCGAAAGCGUGGGGAGCAAAACAGG
rnacentral:rRNA from 1 species